UCCAUGUCACUUUCACGUCGAGCCCGAGGUGAAGAACCGUCCCUUC
rnacentral:SRP_RNA from 1 species